AACGAACGCUGGCGGCAGGCUUAACACAUGCAAGUCGAACGAACGUAGCAAUACGUUAGUGGCGCACGGGUGAGUAACGCGUGGAUAUCUGCCUUUUGGUUCGGGAUAACCUUGGGAAACUAGGGCUAAUACCGAAUGGUUCCUACGGGAUAAAGAUUUAUCGCCAAAAGAUGAGUCCGCGUCCGAUUAGCUAGUUGGUGGGGUAAUGGCCCACCAAGGCGACGAUCGGUAGCUGGUCUGAGAGGACGAUCAGCCACACUGGGACUGAGA
rnacentral:rRNA from 1 species